UUGGAGGGCAAGUCUGGUGCCAGCAGCCGCGGUAAUUCCAGCUCCAAUAGCGUAUAUUAAAGUUGUUGCAGUUAAAAGGCUCGUAGUUGAAUUUCGGGGUUAGUAGGUUGGUCAUGUCUCUGGUAUGUACUGGUCUCACUGAUUCCUCCUUCCUGAUGAACCGUAAUGCCAUUAAUUUGGUGUUGCGGGGAAUUUGGACUGUUACUUUGAAAAAAUUAGAGUGUUUAAAGCAAGCUAACGCUUGAAUACAUUAGCAUGGAAUAAUGAAAUAGGACGUUCGAUCCUAUUUUGUUGGUUUCUAGGAUUGACGUAAUGAUUAAUAGGGAUAGUUGGGGGCAUUAGUAUUCAAUUGUCAGAGGUGAAAUUCUUGGAUUUAUUGAAGACUAACUACUGCGAAAGCAUUUGCCAAGGAUGUUUUCAUUAAUCAAGAACGAAAGUUAGGGGAUCGAAGACGAUCAGAUACCGUCGUAGUCUUAACCAUAAACUAUGCCGACUAGGGAUCGGAUGAUGUUAAUUUUUUAAUGACUCAUUCGGCGCCUUACGGGAAAC
rnacentral:rRNA from 1 species